UACGUAGGGUGCAAGCGUUGUCCGGAAUUAUUGGGCGUAAAGGGCUCGUAGGCGGUCCGUCACGUCGGGAGUGAAAACUCAGGGCUCAACCCUGAGCGUGCUUCCGAUACGGGCGGACUAGAGGUAUGCAGGGGAGAACGGAAUUCCUGGUGUAGCGGUGGAAUGCGCAGAUAUCAGGAGGAACACCGGUGGCGAAGGCGGUUCUCUGGGCAUUACCUGACGCUGAGGAGCGAAAGCAUGGGGAGCGAACAGG
rnacentral:rRNA from 1 species